GAUGAACGCUAGCUACAGGCUUAACACAUGCAAGUCGAGGGGAAACGAUAUUGGAAGCUUGCUUCCGAUAGGCGUCGACCGGCGCACGGGUGAGUAACGCGUAUCCAACCUGCCCACCACUUGGGGAUAACCUUGCGAAAGUAAGACUAAUACCCAAUGAUAUCUCAAGAAGACAUCUGAAUGAGAUUAAAGGUUUAUCGGUGAUGGAUGGGGAUGCGUCUGAUUAGCUUGUUGGCGGGGUAACGGCCCACCAAGGCGAGGAUCAGUAGGGGUUCUGAGAGGAAGGUCCCCCACAUUGGAACUGAGACACGGUCCAAACUCCUACGGGAGGCAGCAGUGAGGAAUAUUGGUCAAUGGGCGAGAGCCUGAACCAGCCAAGUAGCGUGCAGGAUGACGGCCCUAUGGGUUGUAAACUGCUAUUAUAAGGGAAUAAAGUGAGCCUCGUGAGGCUUUUUGCAUGUACCUUAUGAAUAAGGACCGGCUAAUUCCGUGCCAGCCGCCGCGGUAA
rnacentral:rRNA from 1 species